UAGAUACCCCACUAUGCUUAGCCCUAAAUCCUGACACUUCCUAAACUAAAGUGUCCGCCUGAGAACUACGAGCACAAACGCUUAAAACUCUAAGGACUUGGCGGUGCCUCAAACCCACCUAGAGGAGCCUGUUCUAUAAUCGAUAACCCACGCUACACCCGACCGCUCUUUGCCUCGUCAGCCUACAUACCGCCGUCGUCAGCUUACCUAUCUUGAAAGAACAGCAGUGAGCGUAAUAGCCCUAACCACGCUAAAAAGACAGGUCAAGGUAUAGCCCAUAGAGCGGAAGAAAUGGGCUACAUUUUCUAACCUAGAAAACUACGAAAGCGGGCAUGAAAUCCCCCCAGAAGGCGGAUUUAGCAGUAAAGUUGCAUCAUAGUGCCAUCUUAAAACCGGCCCCGGGGCACGUACAUACCGCCCGUCACCCUCCUCGCAAGCUACUCGCAUAAGUAAUUAACACACAGUUGAUAGCCAAAGAUGAGGU
rnacentral:rRNA from 1 species